rnacentral:rRNA from 1 species
GAUGAACGCUGGCGGCGUGCCUAAUACAUGCAAGUCGAGCGAACAGAUGAGGAGCUUGCUCCUCUGACGUUAGCGGCGGACGGGUGAGUAACACGUGGAUAACCUACCUAUAAGACUGGGAUAACUUCGGGAAACCGGAGCUAAUACCGGAUAAUAUAUUGAACGGCAUGGUUCAAUAGUGAAAGACGGUUUUGCUGUCACUUAUAGAUGGAUCCGCGCCGCAUUAGCUAGUUGGUAAGGUAACGGCUUACCAAGGCAACGAUGCGUAGCCGACCUGAGAGGGUGAACGGCCACACUGGAACUGGGACACGGUCCAGACUCCUACGGGAGGCAGCAGUAGGGAAUCUUCCGCAAUGGGCGAAAGCCUGACGGAGCAACGCCGCGUGAGUGAUGAAGGUCUUCGGAUCGUAAAACUCUGUUAUUAGGGAAGAACAAAUGUGUAAGUAACUAUGCACGUCUUGACGGUACCUAAUCAGAAAGCCACGGCUAACUACGUG